GGUCAUGACUUCAAGCUGUCCAGCGACAUGGAUUGGCAUCUCGAUCCCGCAUCGGGACUGCGUUGGCCGGAUAACGUCUAUUGUUUCGACAUCGACUACCGGCAUGAUCGCCAGCGCGGUGACGUGAAGCUGGUCUGGGAGCUCAACCGCCUGCAAUUUGUGCCGGUGAUCGCGGCGCUGUCCAGGUUGGAAAAUGACGAUGAGCUGGCUCAGUCCGCGCUCGAUGUGAUCGAGAGCUGGAUCGACGCAAACCCACCGUUCAAGGGGAUCAACUGGAUAUCAGGGAUCGAAUUGGCUCUGCGCGUCGUUUCAAUC
rnacentral:misc_RNA from 1 species